GCUCUUUUCAACAGCACACGUACUAAAAUCAGAAAGAAACAAGAGAUCAGCAUGGUGCCUGCACAAGAACAACACAUAAACUCGUGACACGUUCCCGAUUUUU